UACAGAGGGGGCUAGCGUUGUUCGGAAUUACUGGGCGUAAAGGGCGCGUAGGUGGCCUGCUAAGUCGAACGUGAAAUCCCUGGGCUCAACCCAGGAACUGCGUCCGAUACUGGUUGGCUUGAAUCCGGGAGAGGGAUGUGGAAUUCCAGGUGUAGCGGUGAAAUGCGUAGAUAUCUGGAGGAAUACCGGUGGCGAAGGCGGCAUCCUGGACCGACAUUGACGCUGAGGAGCGAAAGCUAGGGGAGCAAACGGG
rnacentral:rRNA from 1 species